rnacentral:rRNA from 1 species
AGAGCGAACGCUGGCGGCAGGCUUAACACAUGCAAGUCGAGCGGGCGUAGCAAUACGUCAGCGGCAGACGGGUGAGUAACGCGUGGGAACGUACCUUUUGGUUCGGAACAACCCAGGGGAAACUUGGGCUAAUACCGGAUAAGCCCUUACGGGGAAAGAUUUAUCGCCGAAAGAUCGGCCCGCGUCUGAUUAGCUAGUUGGUGGGGUAAUGGCCCACCAAGGCGACGAUCAGUAGCUGGUCUGAGAGGAUGAUCAGCCACAUUGGGACUGAGACACGGCCCAAACUCCUACGGGAGGCAGCAGUGGGGAAUAUUGGACAAUGGGCGCAAGCCUGAUCCAGCCAUGCCGCGUGAGUGAUGAAGGCCCUAGGGUUGUAAAGCUCUUUUGUGCGGGAAGAUAAUGACGGUACCGCAAGAAUAAGCCCGGCUAACUUCGCGCCAGCAGCCGC